UGAAAAAAUUAGAGUGUUCAAAGCAGGCCUUUGUUCGAAUACAUUAGCAUGGAAUAAUAGAAUAGGACAUCGGUUCUAUUUUGUUGGUUUCUAGGACCGCUGUAAUGAUUAAUAGGGAUAGUCGGGGGCGUCAGUAUUCAAUUGUCAGAGGUGAAAUUCUUGGAUUUAUUGAAGACUAACUACUGCGAAAGCAUUCGCCAAGGAUGUUUUCAUUAAUCAGUGAACGAAAGUUAGGGGAUCGAAGACGAUCAGAUACCGUCGUAGUCUUAACCAUAAACUAUGCCGACUAGGGAUCGGACGGUGGUUUUUUUAUGCCCCGUUCGGCGCCUUACGGGAAAC
rnacentral:rRNA from 1 species